GACGAACGCUGGCGGCGUGCUUAACACAUGCAAGUCGAACGGAAAGGCCCUGCUUUUGUUGGUUUCUCGAUUGGCGAACGGGUGAGUAACACGUGAGUAACCUGCCCUUGACUUUGUGAUAACUUCAGGAAACUGCGGCUAAUACCGGAUAUGAUCUCCUGCUGCAUGUUGUUGGUUGGAAAGUUUCGGCGGUUGGGGAUGUACUCGCGGCUUAUCAGCUUGUUUGUGGGGUAGUGGCUUACCAAGGCUUUGACGGGUAGCCUGCCUGAGAGGGUGACCGGCGACAAGGGGACUAAGAGACGGCCCAGAAGCGUACGGGAGGCAGAAGGGGGGAGUAUGACAGAAUGAGGGGAAGCGAGAGACAACAGCGCCGGGAGCGGGAAAACGGCCUACGAGGGGAGAACAGAUUUGGAAGGAGACGAAGCGAGAGUGACGGUAAUGAGUAAAGAAGCAACGGCUAACUACGUG
rnacentral:rRNA from 1 species